ensembl:lncRNA
AAAAGAAACUAGGGACUUUCAAAAUAAUUAAAAUUCCCCUUGAUAAUUAUUCAGAGAUGAAACUGAGUACCAGAAGGUGGGACUCACACCUAAUUUAUCAUUGUGUUGCCCAUAGUAACCCAAAGUGCUAGCACGCAAUAAUUCCCUAUAAAUGUUUUGAAUAAAUAAAUGUGUGCCAUCUAAAAAUAUGAGACUUCACCCUUUAUUCAUUAGUUAAGUCCUAAAAAAUACCAAGCACAGUUCAAUGACACAGGAAGAGCUAAAGAUUACCCAAUUUCUAACUUUCUUCCUGGCUCACCCUCUCUGUCAGUUUAGUAUUUGCUAGAAUAGCACCUUUAUUGAUGACCCAGGCAGGGCAGGCAGAAGCCAGGUGGCUAUAGUUGUGGGGUUUCUGGGAGGGGGAGCUGGCUGACCGUCACUUUUCUGGUGCCUGGGGUCUCAGUUUGAAGAUUCCAAGCAUUUUUCAGGGUGAGCUUAUUAAAAGGCUUCAGGUCCCACUCCAAGGAGGAAAAGUAAGUUGGGGACCCCUUGUCUCCAUGUUGCAGAAGAGUAAAGCAAGACCUAAAGAAGAGAUGUGAUUUACAAAGAACACCUGGAGAAUUGGUAGCACAGCCAGAACCAGAGCUCGAAUCUCCAGGUUCUUUCUCUAAGGAUCUAUCCACUGUAACAGCUUGCCUCCUGGGAUGGCUUGGGGGCAUCUGGCAGAGUGCAGGCAGGGGGCCUGAAGUGUGACGCUGACCAUGAGGAUAAAGAGCAGUUGGCAAAGAGAACCGUCAGACCCACACCAGCACCCACCUCUGCCUCGAUCCCAGAAUGCAGGGGUCUUGUGCUGUUCCUGAGAUGGGAGCUGCAGAAACCUUCUCCCCCCAUUCACCAUGGUGAAGACACCCCCACCCCGGACUUAAGCCCCUCGUGCACGUAGAACUUCCAGUGGGUCCUGCAGUGACCCAGCCAAGAGGUCACCAUGCAUUUGAGGAAAAUACAUCAAAGAGAAACCAAGACAAACAUAAAAGGAAACUGAACGUAACACAAUUUGAAGAGCAGAA